GAACAUGAGACAGACUCCAGGAAGUCAAAAAAAGAGGACAGUCCUGAUACCAGAAAUGUGAUUCUGUUAAAGAUAUACAAAAAGGAAAGCAACAGCUACCCACUGUCCAGCUUGAGGUGAUCUUUCAGCACGGUAGCAUUGCUCCACUCUACCUGCUGAGUUCAGCUACAAAGGGUGCCCCGGAUCAGCACAGCAUCACCACUGGAGCUUGGCAUCCAGAAGGCUGGCGCCUCCAACCCCUGUACUACUGACAAUGAGAACUUCAUCCCCUGAAUGCCAGUCCACAGCAUCUUCCAGAGCCAACACUGUGUCUCCAGCACGGCCAACUGCUCGAAGAGCCUGUAGUGAUGUGUGAUCUUUACUAGAGCAGAAGCUAAAGGUACAGAUGGGAUUUAAGCAUGUCAAGUUCUCUGGACAACUACAGAGCCAUUUCUUUGAGUUCCUUUGCCCAAGAAAAGAAACUUAUACAAAGACGCAGACAAACAAGAAGAUGACAUGGCAUCUGUCUGAGCUACUGGCCCUCUCCUGACCACAUGGACCAGACCAGCCCUCAAGGAAGAGCAUGAAGAAACUCACCAAAUAACUUUUGUACCUUAUGCUCCUCUAUCUAGGAUUCUCCUAUCCAGCUUUGCUCCAUCUCGUAGAAUGAGAUUUAACUUGAUAAGGAAGCUUAUAACCCCUCCUGACUAAGCAAAUUGUAUAUCAUAAUCCAUCAUCUCAUCAUGUCUCCCUCCUUUCUACACUAACUGUGGGAGCUGGAGGGUUCAUACUGGGACAUUUCUGCCAUCACUACUAAAAUACCUACAAGCUGAGCGGGC